rnacentral:rRNA from 1 species
AGGCAGCAGUGGGGAAUAUUGCACAAUGGGCGCAAGCCUGAUGCAGCCAUGCCGCGUGUAUGAAGAAGGCCUUCGGGUUGUAAAGUACUUUCAGCAGUGAGGAAGGUGGUAGUGUUAAUAGCACUAUCAUUUGACGUUAGCUGCAGAAGAAGCACCGGCUAACUCCGUGCCAGCAGCCGCGGUAAUACGGAGGGUGCGAGCGUUAAUCGGAAUUACUGGGCGUAAAAGCGCAUGCAGGUGGUUUGUUAAGUCAGAUGUGAAAGCCCGGGGCUCAACCUCGGAAUUGCAUUUGAAACUGGCAGACUAGAGUACUGUAGAGGGGGUAGAAUUUCAGGUGUAGCGGUGAAAAUGCGUAGAGAUCUGAAGGAAUACCGGUGGCGAAGGCGGCCCCCUGGACAGAUACUGACACUCAGAUGCGAAAGCGUGGGGAGCAAACAGGAUUAGAUACCCUGGUAG